CUGCACAACCCAACGAAACUAAAAUGAAGAAGUGGAUCGUGGCGUAAUGAAAACCAUUUGAUUGUUUAAGAUAGAUAAAAAAAUGUGAGUCUUAAGCUGUCAUGAAGUUUUCAAUUAGGAAAGCUUACUCUGAAGUUUUACCGACACACAACGAUUUAAGUUAAGAAAGAUAAAAGAGAGAAGAAAGAAUUGUUUCUUGUAUAAGGAUCUAAUUGAAUCAACGCAAUAGUUGGAUUACUGUUAAAACGAAUUGUUCCGUUCAGCUGAUUCUCUCCCAGAUCAAGAUAUUUCAAAGAUGAAAGUCCACCGAGAGAUGAUAACACGCUGUUUAUUGAACCAAUUUUUACUCAAAUCAAG
rnacentral:lncRNA from 1 species